CUGGCUGCUUCCCUUUGGCAACAGUAGGGGCACUGUCUUCCCUCUGGCUUCCCAUAGUCCUUGCGCCUGCCCACAAGCUUCAACUCUGGGAAGGAGAGCACUUCUCCUCACCUGCCUCAGGUGGAUGCUCUUAGGAUUUGUGAAAAUCCCUUUGGAACAAAAGAGAUUUGAGUAAGAAGUUUUGUGAAAUGGCUCAGAAGACAAGAGCGCCCAGGAAAGCAGGGUGAUAUUUUACUGGGAGAGGGGAUGAGCUUCCAGGCUCCUCCAAGCCAGAACACCUGGAAGGCCAUGAUGCCUCAGUGCAGUGACCCCCUGCAUGGUCUGCAUACCAGGAGGAGACACAGGGAAAUGCAUGGCCAGAAAAAUAAAAAGCAUAGAAGGGUAAGGCCAUUAUCACUACUGGAUCAAUACAAUCUAGAAGUAGUGUGAUCCUCGAUGCAGGCAAACUACAAGGAAAUAAAGCACACAGCAG